rnacentral:rRNA from 1 species
AAACUGAAGAGUUUGAUCAUGGCUCAGAUUGAACGCUGGCGGUAUGCUUAACACAUGCAAGUCGAACGGUAACAGGCCUUCGGGUGCUGACGAGUGGCGGACGGGUGAGUAAUGCAUAGGAAUCUGCCUGGUAGUGGGGGACAACGUAGGGAAACUUACGCUAAUACCGCAUACGCCCUUCGGGGGAAAGCGGGGGACUUUCGGGCCUCGCGCUAUCAGAUGAGCCUAUGUUGGAUUAGCUAGUUGGUGGGGUAAAGGCCUACCAAGGCUGCGAUCCAUAGCUGGUCUGAGAGGAUGAUCAGCCACACUGGGACUGAGACACGGCCCAGACUCCUACGGGAGGCAGCAGUGGGGAAUAUUGGACAAUGGGCGAAAGCCUGAUCCAGCAAUACCGCGUGUGUGAAG